GUGAGGAAGAUUCUGUCCUCGCCUAUCAAAUUUGCAAAAUUUGAAGCAUGGAGCUUGUGGAUCACCGCAGGACCUGGAUUCGCCAGAACAAGCUGCAUACCAAGAAAAUACCAACUCCUCCGGUAAGCAUAUUUCACCAACUUUACUCCACUUUUUGGGUGCUGGUCUUGUCUUGUUAAAAAAACUUGCUAGAAAUCCAAGGCAUAUAAAGUAGAAGCGGAUGGUGUUUUUUACCUGCACGUCUCUCUUCUUUAGACUGCUGUUUAACUCCUCAAGUGCAUGGAUUCCACUAGUGUCAAUGUCCGUAACGGCUGCAUACAAACAACAAUACAUGUUAAUAACUCUCCUAUAAAACCAACGAGCAUACCUUUAGCCCACAGGAGGGAGAUGGGAAGGGAAUCUUACGUGAUAAAUCUACUACCAAAAACUGAAUUCUUGGCUGGUUCUCUGCUUUAACUCUUUCUUCCUCAUCUGUCAGCCAUCUCAGUAACCUGAUAGGAAGUUGAUUUGGGCAACAUGAAAUCUAUUACAAACAGAAACAACUAGCCAGAUUUUAAGACCCCCCGAUUUAUCCUAAUGCUGCAUACUCGUGUACUGUAAGAUAAAGAGCAGUAACGUGCCACGCCAUGCUUCUGUGGGAUAUAAGGCCUUUAAUGAGAUUAUUAGAAAACCUGAAUCAAUAAAUAUAACUAUGUAAUACUUUACUUGUACGUUUAAAAUUGGUUUAUUUCAAUUCCCAAAAAGAAGAAAAGAUAAAUAAAUUUCAUAAGAGAAAGCUAUGCCAUGUCUACAAAUUCUUAGGAGAUCAUUUCAAACAAUUGAAGGAUUUCUCUAACUUUUUAUUGGUUCAGGUGCAAAAAUCAAAACAGUGUGUUACAGGCUGUUUGGAUUUAUUUAUUUGCUUUUUUUAACUCAUAGUCAUGUACUUAUAAACUUUUAAAAAUAACUUUAAAUAUAGUUUAAUUAAUUAAGUUUACUUUUGUGCAAGAGUUUGUGGGUUCGAGUUGGAUAAUGCUCCUCCGUGUGUCAUUAUUUUAAAGGUUAUUUGUGUUAUGUUAUAAUUAAUGUAUAUAUACCAUAUUGUUGAUGAAUGUAUACAAUUUUUUACUCAAAAAUUUAAGUUUAUUCCUAUAUCUCUAACGGGCUCUACAUAAGUAUCUUUGAACUUUCAGCAAAAAGAGUGCUCAUAAAUUGAAAGCAGAAUAAAUUAUUAAAAUCCAAAGGUCAAGAAUUGGAUUCUGUCCAAACCCAAAGGUCAAAAGUAUUUGUUGGGUUAUAAACCAAAACAAAGAAGCACCUCUUAGGAGCUUAUUUAGGACUUAUAAGCUAAGAGCUUAUAGCCAAAGAGAGGAUACCGAGCACAUGUGUCUUCUAUUCUUUUAUCAAACUAUUUAACAAGUUAAAAGCUUAUUCUAUGGUCAAACUAACAGGAACUUAUUCCUUUGACUUCAAAGCUCAAAGGAAGAUGCCAAACACGUGAAUUUUUUAUCAUUAGAAAAAAAUGCCAACCAAACACCUAGACUUAAUUUUUUGGUAUAUAUCUAGAUGUUGACGCCAUAUUUAUGAGGAGCCCUUAUUCCUGACGCCAUCUUUUGGACUAUAUGGAGAGGCUUUGGACGCAUUGCAUCUAAGUUUGGCAGUAUUAGAGACUGAUGGUUCUUAGACCUAAGCAUUUUGUUUAACGCCAUCUCGUCCUUCAUGAGGAAGAGAUUCAGGGAGCUCACUGAUAUUUUGGCUCAAUCCUCUCCAUAAUUUUAUGUCUUGUAUAUCUUAUCCGUAGGUGGCAUCCUCUUGCCACCUCUUAGUAUUAUUCUCCACUUCCUUCUCAACCCAAACAAAAAAAGCCAGGCCAGAUAAACUAUGAUUAUAGAAAUAUUAUGGUGCAUCUUUACCUCUCUCUGACAUAAUUAGAGUUGGAAAAGUAAAUUGCCGAAUCAACUCUCACGAUCAAAACACCUGAAACCUUAGUUGCAUCUGGAUAUUGUUGGGUAUUUCUGUACACAGUUGUCCUAGGGAUCUUUCCAAGAAGGGCUGUCCGAGGUCUGGUAACUUGUAACAAUAUUUUAGCGAAGGAUAUACAGACCUGUCAUAAAACACAGUUAGAAAAGAUAAAAGUAAGUUAGACAUGUAAUUCACAAGUAGUUCAUAACUAAAAAUUGGAGGAAGUAAAUGUAUUUCUCACCGCAAUUAAGAGACCUAUCUCGACAGAGGAAAAAACUACUCCAAAAAAGGCUCCCAUGCAGGCAACAAAAUCAAAUUUGUCUAUCUUCCAUAUCAAAACUACUGCCUCAAAAUCAAGUAGGCCUAUGACAGCUGAGAUAAUGAUGGCAGCAAGAAUGGCAUUUGGGGUGUAUUUAAAAAGAGGUGUAAUGAAUUGCAAGGUUAGAAAUACAACACAAGACAUAACGAUGUUAGACACUGCAGUUUGGCAGCCAGCCAUGUAAUUUACUGCUGAUCUAGAAAAUGAACCUGCAAAUAAUUAGAAAAUAACAAUCAGCUGCGGGCUAAUUAUUAUUCCCACACGAGUGAGCAGGAACAUGAACAGACAAGUUCUUUUGAUGUUCAAGUAUUGGAAGGUAAUGGAGACUAUGUGAGUGACCUUAUUUAUUAACCUGGUAUUUGUUUCUUUCCCCUUCUUUUGAGUUAAUUAUUAGUGUGUGUUUGACAACCUUCAUAAUGUGGUAAGCAAUUUUAUAUACUGGCUUUUUCUUGGCAUGCAUGUAUUGCUAAAUGGCUCCUUGAUAAAUCAUACAGGAAGAAAUAUUACUAUAAGCCAUCCCUCUUUUCUGUAUUUAAAAAUUUACAUUCAUGUGUAAUACAAUAGGUGUUUCCUUCUCACCUGUGGCCACAUAGCAAGAAGUCAUUGAACCAACGAUAUUCAUUGCUCCUAAAGCUACCAUUUCUUUAUUACCAUCCAGUUGAUAGUCCUUCAUGGCAGCAAACGUUCUUCCAAUGGCUGUUGCUUCCUGAGAAAUCCACCCAUAAUGAAAUUAGUGAGAAACAAGGAAAGGAAAGAGUUUGAUAAAAGAACCACAAAAUAAAACCUCUUCUCCUAGCAAAGGUGAUCAAAUUGACUCACCGUAAGUGCUAUCAUGCCAGCCACCACUCCGAUCCUGAAGCCUUUUGUCAGAAACGGGCCACUGAAGAAAAUUUGAUCAGCUGAUGGGGGAUUGAUUCCUUUUUCUAUGUGAUUCACCUUCAUUCAUGAAUAGAAAAUUAGAUUUCUGCUGCAGUGUCCCUACUGUUUAAAAUUAUCAUCAAAUUUGAAACUCCUAAUCCUUUUAUCACAAGGAAAAGAUGGAAAUGCUUACAAUUGAAACUCCUUUCUUUUCAGCAUGAGUUAAAAAGACAAAGAGGGUAGAGAGAACAACUGAUAUCAAUGGUGCAAUUGCUGGCACCCAGAAAAGUUUCUUGUUCCUUUUUCCCUGUUUCUCAAAAAAAGUUGGAAAUCAGAACUAUGAUUUGCAAAUAAAUCGAGAGUAACUGGAAGUAAUAGCAGAGACUCUUACAAU
rnacentral:lncRNA from 1 species